GAUGAACGCUGGCGGCGUGCCUAAUACAUGCAAGUCGAGCGAACGGACGAGAAGCUUGCUUUUCUGAUGUUAGCGGCGGACGGGUGAGUAACACGUGGAUAACCUACCUAUAAGACUGGGAUAACUUCGGGAAACCGGAGCUAAUACCGGAUAAUUUUUGAACCGCAUGGUUCAAAAGUGAAAGACGGUCUUGCUGUCACUUAUAGAUGGAUCCGCGCUGCAUUAGCUAGUUGGUAAGGUAACGGCUUACCAAGGCAACGAUGCAUAGCCGACCUGAGAGGGUGAUCGGCCACACUGGAACUGAGACACGGUCCAGACUCCUACGGGAGGCAGCAGUAGGGAAUCUUCCGCAAUGGGCGAAAGCCUGACGGAGCAACGCCGCGUGAGUGAUGAAGGUCUUCGGAUCGUAAAACUCUGUUAUUAGGGAAGAACAUAUGUGUAAGUAACUGUGCACAUCUUGACGGUACCUAAUCAGAAAGCCACGGCUAACUACGUG
rnacentral:rRNA from 1 species